GGCCGACUAGCUCAGUUGGUUAGAGCGUCGUGCUAAUAUUGAUUAUUGUUUGAUUUUUCUGUUAACGCGAAGGUCUUGGGUUCGAUCCCCACGUUGGCCA